rnacentral:rRNA from 1 species
UACGUAGGGCGCGAGCGUUGUCCGGAAUUAUUGGGCGUAAAGAGCUCGUAGGCGGCCAGUUGCGUCUGCUGUGAAAUCCCGGGGCUCAACCCCGGGCUUGCAGUGGAUACGGGCUGGCUGGAGGCAGGCAGGGGAGAACGGAAUUCCCGGUGUAGCGGUGAAAUGCGCAGAUAUCGGGAGGAACACCGGUGGCGAAGGCGGGUCUCUGGGCAGUAACUGACGCUGAGGAGCGAAAGCGUGGGGAGCGAACAGG